CAUCUCUUCUAUUGGUAUACUCGGUCUAAGGAACUCUUGACAAACAGUACAACUGCAAUAAAUAUUCAUAGAAAUUAUAAUCCCUUUUCCUUUUGGAAAGAUGAGCAGAAGGCUGAAAACACACCAAACUGGGUUCAUGGAACAAUUUCUAAAAGGAGAGAAGAUUUAAGAUGGAGAAUAAAGUGGAAAGGGAAGGAAUACUGGCAUGCAGGAGUUAGCCACCGGUGAGAUUUUACCUUGAAGAGGACGUUCUGCCUCGAGUCUGAAAACAACAUCUGUCUUUAUGGGAAAAGCCAUGCCCUGCGCCAACCCUUCUGUGUCCUCUCAACCACAGGUAAUCAAAUUGUGCAUGAAGUAAUUUUAUAAUUUCAUUUUCAACUGGUGAGCACUAAAUUAUGCAUUAGAUCUGUACACAUGAGAGAAUAUAUUUGUUGUGGUAACAUCUGCUAAUAUGUGCUUAGUCUCAGAAAACCAUUAUAUCACGAUUCUUAACCUGGGCACAAAAACAAAAGGGUCUAGGCAUUUGACUACUGUAUUCUGGUUGUUCCUAUAUACCAGGGGACUUCAGGAUUCCUACAUAGAUAGGAUUUGUCAAGUAAGACACUCCUAAUGAUUCAAUCUUCCAUUUUGCUUCUAGAAAUCAUUUUUGUCUGAUGUGCUAUUUGGUCUUACAUAUAACCACACUGGGCAGAACCUUUGAGAAAAGAGUUUGAAAAUUGUCAAGGGCUGUAUGCAGAAUCUACCAUAUGUGAUUUGCACUGUUCCCCUGGUAGCUUCUAUUUUUUAUGAUGCUAACUUCCAUGGUGGUGGAGACAACCAUAUUUUUUCAUGUCCCCAAGUGCUUUCCCUGACUAAUCCAUAUCCCUGGUUUCAGUGCCCAUUUAUUCUCUACAACCUAAUAUCUAUGAACUCAUCUGUUCCUUGCAAAACCUUCAUGUGGCCCCUCUCCUCACUCAGGUUGAGCUCAGUGCUUCUCCUGGAACCAGGAACUGUUCUCACAUCCCUACCCAUUCACUCACUCCUUUUCUCCCACCCUCUGCUCAACAUUGCACAUCUUGAAACUGAAAUGAUGCCUUUGAGUUAUGGACAAAAACGAGGUCUUCAAGGUUUUCUGCAGAAUUCAUUGAAUGAAAAGUGAAUGAAGCAAUCACGUAAGACAAUGAGAUGUGCCAGCCAACAUGGAGACUAAGAGGUAUGAGGAAAGGUAUGAGGCCAGUUGGCCCCGGCCAGUCUCACAUUCAAGAGGUUGACAGGGGUUUGUGUGUGUGUGUGUGUGUGUGUGUUUGCAUGGGGCAAAUGAUAUAAAGGAUGAAACCUUUAUACCAUAUAUACAUACUUUCAAUGUAGCAAGUAUGAAUAUCACUCUGCCAUUUUAUAGGUGUUACAUUUCUAUAAUUUAGAAAAAAUAAUCCUGCAUUUUCACUCUAAAAUGACAGAAAAUUCCAUGACAGUCAUAUUUGGCAGACUGAGUGUUCAUUCAAGGUACUCCAAUACCUGGGGUGCCAGAAGUUUGUGGGGUCCCUAUCAGCUACUCCAUCUGCUGUGGCUCACCAGGUUUCCAAAGCACUGGACAGAUUGCAUGACCCAGUCAGAACAGAGAUGCCCCUCAGGGUGGCCUCUCCUCUGCCACACAUGGGCCCGGAGGGAAGCACUGAAUUUCUCAAACACAUCUGGAAGACAUUUCUGACAGCCAAUUACACACCAAGGAGCACAGACCCUUCCAGAAACCCGCAGGAUUCCUGAGUCUACCCCUACUCCUGGCCUGAGGAAAAGAAACUUCUUUCUCAAUUAGGCAGCGUCUGUGUCUUCAGUUCCCGAGCCCUAACCUCCAUGCCCCUUCUCCAGGGAAUACAGUCUGGGCAACUUUUUGUUUUGAAUGUCAUGGGUCAGCAAAGGAGCUGGAGACACCACUUACUGGUUUCUUAAUAACUCACUUUAUUAUGCAGUUCUUCAGAAGUACUGUGUCCCCCCUGCUCUCCACGCCCCCCUCCCCAAUCUACUGGUGGCCCUGAGCUUCCCUGAUGUCCCAGCCCUUGUUCACUCAGCAGCACAAGGACACAGGGUCUUGGCAAUUGUCCUAGGUUUCUUCAUCCUGUUCAUGACUCCAAAAACAACACGUUUCUCACUCAAAAACAAGCUGGAGGUUUCUGUUGAGACUUCAAAUAUUUUCCCAGAGUCUGCUGUAAAAAUAAUAAGGUUACAUUUUAAUUUUAAAUGAUUUAUCCAUGUGAGUUCUUGUGUCAAGACCCUGCUAUAGUUUUGUUUAUCGUACAAAGAAAAUCAAGUCUGCUUCUAAAAAAAAUAUUUUCCAAAAUAUAAAACAAAUGAGCAUCCUGCUUCAGAAUGAAAUCUCAGGAAGAGUCUACAUUUGUUAUAUAGAAGACUCCAGACAAAUAUUUAUAACUCCUGCCCACAAUUUGUUUGGCAAUUUGCAUGGUUUCGAUAAUCAUUCACGAUAGUAUUGUUACUCAGGACUUAGCAUUCAUGUCUUCUUCCAAAUAUUUUAUUUUGGGGUUAUAAAUGAACUUUCCGUUUCCAGAGAUGUAUUGGACAAGGGUAGUCAUGGUAGCCCUCUCUGUGUUAUGCUGUAACCUGAAUUCAUUUUGGAAAGAGUAGGAAAUUCCUUAGAGGGGUUUGGGAAGAAAAAAUAUUUUAAUGAUCCAACCCCAUAAUAUUUAUAUCCUCUUACAAAUAGUUGUAAUUAGGUCCCAUUUGUAACUAACAAAACUAAAAAAUCUGCCUCCCUCCUACCAGUAGGACUCCAUUUUAAAAUAAACAUUAUACACGAAUGAUUAAUAUUGAAGACCAAAAAAAUUGCUUAUCUCACGAAUGCUCCUGCAUUCCUGCAGUGCCAUCCGGAAAAUUCCACCAGUGCCAACUGAGUUUGUGAGAACCUGUGAUGAAACCCAAAUAGGGACAAGAUGUGGUGUUUGCAUUUGAAAGAAUGAAAAAUUGUCUCUGAAGGAGAAAAUGCUGUGGGUGUAAAGAAAGGUGGAAACCAAGGAAGCCUUGGAGAGAGUUUUCACUGAGAUCUGAAGGAGCUGGCAGCAAAAAUCCUUCAGGGCUCUGCUGCAGAGCUGGCUGAGGUCCAGAGAGGAGGAGGGACUGCAAGGUAGAGGUCGCUGUGGGCCACAGACUUGUCCCCUGGGCAGAGUCUACAAGGAGUUUGAAGUGUUAGACUUUAUCUAUUUAAUUUUUGAAAAGAUUAUAUAUUCACAAGAUUCAAAAGCAUUAGAGGUCCUACCAGGUUUAUUAGGGAAAAAUCUCCUCAAUAUUCCUGCCUCCAGCUACUCAGUUUUCAAGCCUGGAGGCCACCGACAUUCCCAGCUGCUAUGUGUCCUCCAGAGCAAUUUCAAGCCACCAAGCAAAGAUAUAUUUUAUACAUAUGCAUCCUUUCUUUCUUUCUUUUUUUUCUUUUUUUUUUUUUUUUGCUGGUAGAGUCCACUCCCUAGAUUGAUCUGCCUUAUUUUCUUGCUGCCAUCUGGGAGGAAGCAUAUAGGCUAUGGAUUAGCCAUCCCUAACUUAUUCUGUGUCAAGAAACCUUUUGGCAUUUGGUGAAGCUUAGGAAUUUCUUCUCACACUAAUGUUUUAAAAUGUUGACAAUACAAUCCUCAAAGAAAGUCGGUUAUGCUGGAAUAUAGUCAUAAACAUAUUUGUAUUUAGAAAUAUAUGGACUUAUGUAUUAAUGAAUUAAAUAACAAGGUCUAUCAGUGAGCUUAAUUACAACUGUAAUUUUGGGGGAUUCAGAUGAGUAUAAAUGUUAUUUCACAAUCCUGGCCACACUUGUAAUGUGACAAAGUAUCUAUGAUUUGUAUAAUUGCAACAAUGUAAGGACUUAAGUCAUGAGUAAAGAUUAAUGAUACCGUUAAAAAAAAGUAUCUAUGAUUUUUGUUGGUAACAAAGACAGCUAUUGGCACUUUUGUGGUUUUCUGUCUGCCUCAUAAUUAGAGGAAGUUAUAAAUUUCAGCUAGAGACAAGAAACACUACUUUAUAUGUACAGUAUUUCACUACUUUAUAUGUACAGUAUUUCACUACUUUAUAUGUACAGUAUUUCCCAAACAUUCACACAUAUUUGUAGGGUAUAUUCUUAGAAGCGCUUUUAAUACCUUCAUAAUUAAAUGCCUGUUGUUAAACUGCCAGAAAUAUACAGUCAUUUCUGCUUUGAAUGAGGGUGUGUUAGUAAGUAGUUCAACCUUAGGCAAUCUGAGAAGUAAAAAAAGUUGUAUUUUGGUUUAGUUUUACUUUGCACUUAUCUCUUACCAGCACAUUUGAAAAUCCUUUUUUUUUUUUUUUUUUUGUAUUUAAGAACCCUUUUCUUAGCCAGGCAUGUUGAACAUACCUGUAAUCCCAGUGGCUCAGGAGGCCGAGGUAGGAGGAAUUCAAGUUGGAGGCCAGCUUCAGCAACUUAGAAAGGCCCACAGCAACUAGUCCCUGUCUCAAAAUAAAAAAUAAAAAGAGAAUUUGACUAUGUGGUUCAAUACCCAGUACAAAAAAAAAAAAAAAGAAAGAAAGAAAAGUUAGUGCCCUUUGUUCUUUGUCCUGUUGGUUCCUGGGCAGGUUCCUGGUGUGUUGCAAGCAGCAGUGGACACCAGUCCCUGAGACAGCAGUGUAAACAGCACCCCCUGGGGUUGCAGCAGAUGGUCCCAGUGAAGAUGUACAUUGUUCUUUGUUGUACUUUUCCAUCAGACUUCUGUUUCUUUGAACCACCUGAGUAGAUUAAAAUCAAAUAUGGAAUACAAAAUUCACUUGUCUUAUUUAGGUAACAAUAUUGUUU
rnacentral:lncRNA from 1 species